GCAGGGAUGUGGAGAAGCCCCCUGAAAGAGCUGCACAGAAUCACAAGGCAGCGAGGACACAGAAACCACUCUAGGGAUAUCCACGGAAUCUGAAAGUGCUUCUCUCCUUCCGUCCUCUCAACCUUCCAUCACUGCACUGCUGUGGCUAAAAGGAGACCAAAAGACUGACACCAGGUGGCAAAGGGAAUCUAAGAGAUGCAGCAGGCAGUGCCCCAGCCCUCUCAGUAAUUAGCAGUGCACAGAAGGGAGCAGAGGAAAAAAGCAGUAUAAUAAGAGAGGGAAGGAUCAGCUUCCAAAUGCUUGAACACCUAUGUUUCCAAGCCACGUAUUGAGGAAUUCAUCUCUUGGCCUCUCCACUCCAACCUGAAUCUCUCUGAUUGCUGUAUUCAGCUGUCCCAGCUGGAGAAACCACACUGAACUCUUCAAGGGCAAAAGCCAAGGUUUGACUUUGCUCCCUCUGAUCCCUGCUAGUGUACCUAGCAGCGUGCUGAGCACAUAACAACUGCCCACAGGAUGAGAUGGUAAACUGGAGAACUUGCUUGGCAAUCACAAGAAAACAGGGCAGUGGUGGUGAGAUCUGGGAUGCGUGCUUUCAAGGUGAUGGCAUCAUGGAGGGAAACCACCUUUUUCCUGUGCUUGCUUCCUUGCAUUUGUCACCCCUUCCUUUUUCCCUCCACAUCCCCACAAGUCACACAGUGAGGAACCAGAAACACAGCAACUUUUGGCUUUUGGCACAGCGAGGCUGGGGUCCCCAGCUUCUCUCGGUCUCACUGAGUGUUGGACUUACAACAACGGUCCUGACAUCAAGAUAUUCUGCGGGAAAUCGGGUGAGAGGGUGGGAGGGGAGGGAGGAAUCACAAAUAAAGAUUUGGUUUUGUCCAUUAAGAGUUGAAAAGAAAGUUGUUCAUAGCCUCGGGCUUGCUUGUUGAUUUCAUGUGGCCAAGUGUCCCACUGGGGGAGUUUGCAGGCACAUGGACUUGAUUUUUUGCGGGGUCAUAGUUUCUUAACCUUCCUCCAGUUCAUUCCCUGCCUGCGUUCUCUUCUCUCAC
rnacentral:lncRNA from 1 species